rnacentral:tRNA from 1 species
GGCGGCGUAGCCAAACGGUAAGGCGGUGGUCUGCAAAACCACUAUUAACGAGUUCGACUCUCGUCGCCGCCUCCA